AGGUGUUGUGUAACGAAUCUGCUUCCAUGCAGGGUCCCGGGGACACGUGGUCUCUGUGACAUGUGGCUUUGCUGUGCUUCCAGGGUGAGCAGCAGAUUUAUAGCACAUUGUCCAGGUCCAACAAAAACCUGCAUUUGCAAACUCUAGAGAGUGAACAAUUGAAUCUAUUUUAAGGUUUCUGCUUCCCUUAUUUAAUGGGUUCGGAUUCCUGUCUUACCUGAACUUAUGUACAUGGACACGUGCAGCACAGCCUGAGGGACGGGCUUGGCCCACAGCAUUGCACUUUGUGAGCACGGAUGUGACCUCACUGCUUCAGACUGGGCAUGUUUUGAAAAUUCCCCAGGAGCAUUCAUAAAAUCUCCUUAGUCCGAAAACCCAGGAAAGGAAACUGUCUUUCUUUUAGGGAAGGUGUUACCUUUUUGCUCUUCUUCCGGGUGCUGACUGGGAUCUCGGGAAACUUUCCUCACGGGUGUUAGUGCAUGUGUGUUGACAUUCACAACACGGCCUUCUCCCAGUACCCAAACCUCCAGGUAUGGACUGUGGAUGCACAAAUCAGUCAUCAGCCACAGAGUAGAACCGUGGGCUUCAAGUUGGAGUCUUUUCUGUCUGAUGUUUCCUGCCAGGGACUUGGGUUGGAAGGUAGAGGUAUAAUCAUGUGAAAUUGGUCUGAAAUCGCCAAGUGCUUGGCAGCUGUAGAGUUUUGAAUUUGAGCAAAUAAUAAGCAAAGCCUAGGGCACAGCAAGCCCUGAUUGUGUGAAGAAGGGAGCAGAGGCCUGAAGAUGUGUGUGUCGUGGACGUUCCUGAGUGUCUUAACCUGACGUGUGUCCACACGGUCUCCUCAACACCUACCCCGAAGUUUCAUCUGUAGCUGAAGGAGGACAAGACAGAGCUGACCCCAGCACGGCCGUGCCUCUAUGGCCACCCUCUUCUCUUCCUCAACUGGAAAGCGUGACUCCCGGGUUCCAACGGGGUAGAAAUGCCCUCAGAGGAGAGCCGUCCAAGAGGAUUUGCUGUCCUCAGGGCCCCACCCUGGCUGAAGGCGCAUGGAGUGGAAGAUGGAGCAGGAGCAGAAGAUGGGCAGGUGCGCUCUGCCCACCUAGGCUCUCGCUGCCUCCACGGGGCCUCUGCUGGUGGGGCCUCUGCUGGGGGGCCUCUGCUGGGUCCGUCUAGAGGAGCUGUGGACUCAUAGUGCGCCUGGAAUUUUCUUUGCACUUAUGUCUCACACCUGGGCUGUGAUGUCUCUGCAGCCUCCCUGGGCCUCUACCCUCCUCAGGUCCUCUUCCCCUCCGGCUGCGCCAUCAACAUUUCCCACUCCUUAAUGUG